CAAUUAUGAGUUUGAACACAAGGACUCUCUUUUCCUGACAAGUCUCUAUUUGGAUGAGAGACCUUUCAAGUAUAAAUUUGGAUGGGCAAUUCGGUGCUUCCAACUUUGCAGAAACGGGGUGUGGCCAGGCUCUAAGCUUCAAGAGGACCUUCUAAAAGUUCCGGUUUUCUGAACAUUGUAUCCUGUGUGUAAGAGACCUCUCUUCAGUCAAGUCUGGACCCAGUCAGACGCCAGUCUUAAGGAUAAUUGAUGAGAGAUCAUGCCAGUCCAUAUUGAAAUAGUGACUACAUGCAAGACUUCAAGCAGUACUACAUUUCAAGUUU